GGCUCGGUAGCUUAGUUGGUAAAGCGCUCGUCUAGCAUACAAGAGUCCUGGGUUCAAAUCCCAACCGAGCUC
rnacentral:tRNA from 1 species